rnacentral:rRNA from 1 species
GUCUAUAGCCAUACCACACUGAAUGUGCCUGAUCUUGUCUGACCUCAGAAGCUACAGGGUCAGGCCUGGUUAGUACUUGGAUGGGAGAAGGGGAGAAGAAGGAGAUGAGAGGGAAUGAGAAUGCAGGUGAUGGGAACC